AUGGCACUCGUCUCCGCCUCCUCCUCCUCCACCACCGCCGUCGCGGCGCUCCCCAGGAAUGGGCAGCGGGCGCCGUCCUUCCUCGGCGGCAAGACGCUGCUGAGGCAGGCCGAGGCGGCGCGGCCGUCGUUCGCCGUGCGCGCCGCCGCGGACCCCGACAGGCCCAUCUGGUUCCCCGGCAGCACCCCGCCGCCGUGGCUCGACGGCAGGUCGGUUGAUUCCUGGAGCUCUGUAUUCGUUCAAUUGUCUGAAAAAAGCCAGCUGCUUCAGCUUGUGUGUGACUCUGACAGUGUUCUUUGCCUUGUUGAUGCAGCCUCCCCGGCGACUUCGGCUUUGAUCCCUGGGGCCUCGGUGAGUUCUGAUCCCCGAUCAAUCUCUUUCUCCUGUGCACAUACAAUCUCUGAGCCGAGCGAUGUAAUUAACUGUCCACGCAUGUGUGCUGGC
rnacentral:lncRNA from 1 species